CCACAUGUUCUCACUCAUAAGUGGGAGUUGAACAAUGAGAACACAUGGACACAGAGAGGGGAACAUCACACACUAGAACCUGUCGGGGGAUGAGGGGCAAGGUACUGCAAAGCAAAGGCUCUACAUUUCGCAUGCACAUGGAUCAAAACUCGGUUUAUCAAAUUUCCACACUUGAAUGUACCAUCUGCUUUCAGAGAGACAGUGUUAGAAAGAAGGAGGAGGACAAGGAGGAGGAGAAAAAGGAAAAGAAGGAAAAGGAGAAGAAGGAAAAGAAGGAGAAGAGAGGGAAAAAGAAGAAGGUGAAAGAAUGAUUCUACUGGGAAUAAAAUGAAGGAUCCAGCCAAAUUUAAAGUGGUUAAAUACUGUAUUGAUACUGGUGCAGUUAUUUUAAACCAUCUUGUUUUCAAGAUAUUGUAGAAAGGGCUUAUUAAUCAAACAAUAAAUGCAUCUUUGCACUUUUCUCUUUUUCUCCUCUUUCCUGUUAUGUCUUACAGUUCACUAAGAUGGAAACAACAACAUCCAAUGAUUUCACGUUAGACAUUUGUGUAAAAGCAGGAUAUUUUCUUCCUUCAUGUUCAGUCGCUCUUGCAUUCCCUCUCUUCAUAUUGUUGCAUAUAAUUUGAUCUUUCCUUUUGUCGUAUUUCCUUUCAAAGACAUUUUCAAAUGUCUUUGAUCAUUAUAGGAUCAAAGACAUGGUUUUGCAUUUGAGAUGAUAUUUCUCUACAUUUUCUUUGUGAUCAUCUCACUUUGGAUUUCUCUUAAUCAGUCUGGCCUGCCAUAACAAAAUACCAGAGAAGACUUGUUGGUUUAAUCCAGAGAAAUUUAUUUUCUUGCAGUUCUAUGGAAUUUCGCAGUUCUAGAAGUCCAAGAUCAGGGUGCUGGCAGGGUUGGUUGGCAUAUGCUGAGACCGUCUUGGCUUGUAAUAGGCUGCCUUCUUGCUGUCCUUUCCUCUGUGUGCACAUGGAAAGCCUCAUCUCUGGUGGCUCUUCCUCUUCUUAUAUGGACAGCAGUCUUAUUGAAUAAGAGCUCCCUGCCUUAUCAUCUAUUUAACCUUGAUUACCUCUUUUCAGGUCUCAUCUAGGAAUAUAGUCACAUUGGAGGUUAAAAUUUCAACAUAUGAAUUCAGGGGGAAUGCAGUUCAGUCCAGGCUAGUAUAAAAAAAUUUUAAAAGAUGUGUAAGGCAGUAGAAGAAUUUCCUAUGGGUCAUUGUUAUUAUUAUCUCUGAUUUGAAAACCAAGUGACAAUAAAGCAAAACUAUAUUUAACAGUGAAUUAAAAAAAUAUAUAUUUUG